AUUGAACGCUGGCGGCAUGCUUUACACAUGCAAGUCGAACGGUAACAGGUUAAGCUGACGAGUGGCGAACGGGUGAGUAAUGCAUCGGAACGUGCCCGAUCGUGGGGGAUAACGCAGCGUAAGCUGCGCUAAUACCGCAUACGAUCUGAGGAUGAAAGCGGGGGACCGUAAGGCCUCGCGCGAUCGGAGCGGCCGAUGUCAGAUUAGGUAGUUGGUGGGGUAAAGGCCCACCAAGCCGACGAUCUGUAGCUGGUCUGAGAGGACGACCAGCCACACUGGGACUGAGACACGGCCCAGACUCCUACGGGAGGCAGCAGUGGGGAAUUUUGGACAAUGGGCGAAAGCCUGAUCCAGCAAUGCCGCGUGCAGGAAGAAGACCCUCGGGUUGUAAACUGCUUUUGUACGGAGCGAAAAGGUCCUUUCUAAUACAAGGGGCUCAUGACGGUACCGUAAGAAUAAGCACCGGCUAACUACGUGCCAGCCGCCGCGGUAAAAC
rnacentral:rRNA from 1 species